CCCCGACUUUUGGGAGGGGCGCAUUUAUUAGAUAAAAGGCUGACGUGGGCUCUGCUCGCUGAUCCGAUGAUUCAUGAUAACUCGACGGAUCGCAUGGCCUUUGUGCCGGCGAUACAUCAUUCAAAUUUCUGCCCUAUCAACUUUCGAUGGUAGGAUAGGGGCCUACCAUGGUGGUGACGGGUGACGGAGAAUUAGGGUUCGAUUCCGGAGAGGGAGCCUGAGAAACG
rnacentral:ncRNA from 1 species